rnacentral:rRNA from 1 species
UGCAAGUCGAACGGCAGCACGGGAGCUUGCUCCUGGUGGCGAGUGGCGGACGGGUGAGUAAUAAAUAGGAAUCUGCCCAAUAGUGGGGGACAACUUGGGGAAACUCAAGCUAAUACCGCAUACGACCUACGGGUGAAAGUGGAGGACCUUCGGGCUUCACGCUAUUGGAUGAGCCUAUUUCUGAUUAGCUUGUUGGUGGGGUAAAGGCCUACCAAGGCGACGAUCAGUAGCUGGUCUGAGAGGACGAUCAGCCACACUGGGACUGAGACACGGCCCAGACUCCUACGGGAGGCAGCAGUGGGGAAUAUUGGACAAUGGGCGCAAGCCUGAUCCAGCAAUGCCGCGUGUGUGAAGAAGGCCUGCGGGUUGUAAAGCACUUUCAGAUGGGAGGAAAAGCUGAUGGUUAAUACCCAUCAGUCUUGACGUUACCGUCAGAAGAAGCACCGGCUAACUCCGUGCCAGCAGCCGCGGUAAUACGGGGGGUGCAAGCGUUAAUCGGAAUUACUGGGCGUAAAGCGCGCGUAGGCGGUCUGAUAAGUCGGAUGUGAAAGCCCCGGGCUCAACCUGGGAAUUGCAUUCGAUACUGUCAGACUAGAAUGUGGUAGAGGGAAGUGGAAUUUCAGGUGUAGCGGUGAAAUGCGUAGAUAUCUGAAGGAACAUCAGUGGCGAAGGCGACUUCCUGGACCAACAUUGACGCUGAGGUGCGAAAGCGUGGGUAGCAAACAGGAUUAGAUACCCUGGUAGUC